GUAUUUUUGUCGAAAUUAAAUUUCAAAUGUUCGUCCCUCGAAUUAUAGUGUGUGUCCUCUACUUUAGGUUUCUUUCCCGAAUUCACAUAUCUUUUACGUGUUUCUUGAGCCUCUUCCUUGGCUUUUCUCUUCCUUUCCUCAACUUUCUCCCUCGUUUGUUUUGCUUCCUCCCUUUCCUUUACGUCGCCGACUCGAUAUGGCAAAACAUCCAUCGGAUCAAUGAAAUUUUUAUUAUUAACCUCUAUACACCUAAAUCUAUCUUCAGAGCAUUUAUGGUCCUUAACGAGAUGUUUCUUUAGUACCUGUAAUUUCCUUCUAGACAAAUCACAUAUCUGACAGGUAUACAAGGUCAACUUUUCUUUGUGUACACUAC
rnacentral:lncRNA from 1 species